GGCAGUGGUAGCUCCGUGUUUAAAGCAUUGUGCUACUGACUAAAAGGUCCUGAGUUUGAAUCCCAGCAUUGCUA